UACAGAGGGUGCGAGCGUUAAUCGGAAUUACUGGGCGUAAAGGGCGCGUAGGCGGCCUUCUAAGUCGGACGUGAAAUCCCUCGGCUUAACCGAGGAACUGCGUCCGAUACUGAAAGGCUUGAAUCCGGGAGAGGGAUGUGGAAUUCCAGGUGUAGCGGUGAAAUGCGUAGAUAUCUGGAGGAACACCGGUGGCGAAGGCGGCAUCCUGGACCGGUAUUGACGCUGAGGCGCGAAAGCGUGGGGAGCAAACAGG
rnacentral:rRNA from 1 species